CCGGUACGUCAGUUCGGAUUGGGGUCGUCGAACUCGACCCCAUGAAGUCGGAGUCGCUAGUAAUCGCAGAUCAGCAACGCUGCGGUGAAUACGUUCCCGGGCCUUGUACACACCGCCCGUCAAGUCACGAAAGUCGGUAACACCCGAAGCCGGUGGCCCAACCCUUGUGGAGGGAGCCGUCGAAGGUGGGACUGGCGAUUGGGACUAAGUCGUAACAAGGUAGCCGUACCGGAAGGUGCGGCUGGAUCACCUCCUUU
rnacentral:ncRNA from 1 species